rnacentral:rRNA from 1 species
GUCUAUGGCCAUUCCACCCUGCAAAUGCCCAAUCUCCUGAUUUCAGAAGCUAAGCAGGGUUGGGGCUGGUUAGUACUUGGAGGGGAGAUGUCUCUUGGAAUAUCCAGGAUACUUACUGGCU